UUUCAUAACUUCUCUUUGUGUGUGUGUUUU
rnacentral:sRNA from 1 species